GCCAGCAAUGGCAACUUGUUUUGGUUAGAUUUGGCUGCUACGUUCUAUCAACAAAAGCUUUUGACAGUAUUACCAAAUGUUCAUUAGCAUUCGGACAUAUCCAAAGCACCAAUCAGAAACACGACAGCCUGGAGCAGCUUGUGGCAAGCUUGGGAUCCAUGUGAUUCUUCAAUUACUUGAACUCCCAUGACAAGAAUUCUUCAUCAGAACUGGCAAUUCUCAUGAGGAAUCUUGGACUUCAAUGUCAACAAAACUGUUUCAAUUUCCAGGGAUGCUGCCUGACCUGCCGAGCUUUCCCAGUAUUUUCUGAUUAUAUCUGGAAGCAAUUCUCUGAAAAUAAAUAUUAUAAAAUUCAUUCACAUUUUGCUGCUUGUUCAGAGGUCUCCCAAUACAGAAAUGAUUGAGCAUCUCCGGUCUUUUGGGAUCCCUUGUGGUGGCCGUGAAGCAGGAGUCUGUAAUGGCAGGUCUGAAAUGGGUAGAGGAAAUCUGAGCCUCAGUCACUUGGACAUAUGAGACCUUGAGAUUUGGCUCAGGAUAAGGCAGAAUCAUGAUUAGCCAGUUGAGAAGUUUGGGUUACAAUCCAAGUGCAGGAGGGGCAGAUGGGGAUAUGGUUAGGCCAACACUGGGUGGUGCAGGAUCCUAUUUAGACAUGUAUCAGCCAGAGAGAAAUAAAGCGAAGAGUAAAUAGGUUAAGUGAGAGGAAGUGGUUAGAGAGGAUCUGGGGAAUAAUCUGUCCAUCCAGACGGUGGGUGCAAUUUGGAAUCCACUACCUAAGAAGAUUGUGGUUGGAGGUGGAUACAGUCUGGACAUUUAAGGAGCUUCUGGACAAAUGUUUGAAUCUCAAAGGUUUAUUACUCUACGGCCUAAGGGCUGGGAAAUGGUAUUAGUACAGAUAGGAACUUUAUGGUUGACAUGGUCACAGUGAGUCACAGAGCCUAUUUCUCGCUAUUUAUGAGUAUUUGAGUCUAAAACUUAAUUGUGAUCUUCUCUAAUAGUUAACCUAGUCAGCCACAUCCUAUGUUGAUGUAGAACUCACACCCAUGGCUAAGGUCCUCUUUAGCAUGUGGCCAACAAUGACAGCAGGCUACAUCCCUUCAAAUGAAUUCCACUGGAUAAGACUACUACAGAAGCAGCUAUAUCCAAACAAAUCUGCUUCCUAUAAAGAGAUG